rnacentral:rRNA from 1 species
GUGGGGAAUAUUGGACAAUGGGCGCAAGCCUGAUCCAGCCAUGCCGCGUGUGUGAAGAAGGCCUUUUGGUUGUAAAGCACUUUAAGCGAGGAGGAGGCUCCUUUAGUUAAUACCUAAAGUGAGUGGACGUUACUCGCAGAAUAAGCACCGGCUAACUCUGUGCCAGCAGCCGCGGUAAUACAGAGGGUGCGAGCGUUAAUCGGAUUUACUGGGCGUAAAGCGUGCGUAGGCGGCUUUUUAAGUCGGAUGUGAAAUCCCUGAGCUUAACUUAGGAAUUGCAUUCGAUACUGGAAAGCUAGAGUAUGGGAGAGGAUGGUAGAAUUCCAGGUGUAGCGGUGAAAUGCGUAGAGAUCUGGAGGAAUACCGAUGGCGAAGGCAGCCAUCUGGCCUAAUACUGACGCUGAGGUACGAAAGCAUGGGGAGCAAACAGGAUUAGAAACCCCGGUAGUCC